UGUGGUAGAGAUUGCCAUUGUGGGUAAGAGUAGUCUUUGUCUAUUAUGGUUGUUCUGGCUUAUGUAUGACAUGUUUAAGGGCUAAAAGGAGUUUGCAUUGAUCUUUUAUCUGAUGUAUUCCUUUGAUCCACUGUUAUUGCAUUUUAGUUUAUUUUUCUAGUCUUUUAUGAUCAAUUUCAACUUUCAAGUCUUCUAUGAUAGGUUGUCUUUGGCUAGAGAGAAAUGCUUGAAAAUUUAAGAGGCAACAUUGCGUCUGCAAUUAUUUUGGGAUAGAAUGCUUGUUCUUUUAAGAGUCAAGCCAUCUUCUUGGCUUGUUCAUGGCAUUCGGCCAUUGUAAAGUUUUACCAUUGUCUUUGUCUUUGGUAGACAUUCAAUUAGAAUGCUAAUUCUAUCUUUUCUUUUUCAUUUUUUCUGUUGAUUGAAGGAUGUAUCAUAUCUUCCUUGUCCCUAAUUAUCCUCUCCUUUCCUUGCAUAAUAUAUUCUCUUUCUUUAUUUUUUUCUUUGAGAUAUAAGAGUGAAAAUUGUCAUUCUAUGUUCCUAUGUUUUAUAAUUUAAAAGUGCCAUUCUUUUGUAGCCUUUGAGGUGACUGAUGCUUAAUUUAGCGGGCUGUGUUUCAAUCUGUUGUCCCUGUUCAUAACAUGCUACAUCUGUUUGGGAUUCAAUUCCUGUACGGAGGGUAGCUCAUCUCUCAUGAUCAUUUGAUCUGAAAACUGCUUAGAUUACUAGGAAGUCGAACCAUUGGAUUAAACCCUAACUUCUUAUGGCAAAGCCAUCACUAGUCAGUGAUACAUUGCCCUGGAGAUGUUCUUUCUAGGUAGUGAACAUUUUUAUGGUUUGUUAACACUACUGAUGAAGGGAAGACUGCCAUGGCAAUAAUGUCCAGAUUAUAAGUUUUUCAUCAUGUGUUCCUGCAGUUGUUGAUCACAGAUACAUGAAGCAUUAAGUAUUUCUUAUACAUACAUGUAAGCAAUUUGUAUGCUAAUUACAAAUUAUUAGCUUUAUCUCUUUAGAUAAAUAACUUACUUUUAAGAUUUAAAUUUAGGUUAAGAUUGUGAUAGAUGGAUAAAACUGUAAAACUUAUAGGCUCCUAAAGUUAAAAAAUUUUGAAGUUAAACCUUUUAAGAGUUAUAUGUGAAGAUAAAGGCAAGGAAAGCAGGAGAUGUGGCUAACAAAGGGAAUAAGAAUAAAGAAUGUGGAAUAUAGAGUUAUAACGGAAAAAGGAGGGUUAGGGGCAUGGUUAAAGAACAAAAAUGUAAAAAAGAAAUAAAGGAAAGGUAAGGGUAAAUGGCAAAAUAGGAAGUCCCGUAUGACUUAAUAGUGGUGGAGAUGAAAUAGUCCCAAAAGAAACACAUCUUCACACUGUUGGACAGAAGACUACAGUACAUGCCCUGGGCUUCUGUCUUGGGCCUGGUACUUGCCCAGGGUAUGUAUUUCUCUGUGCCUCUUCGCUGAAUUUUCUGGAACACUGUGUUUUUGCCCUACUUUCUUCCUUUGCUUAUUCCCUUGUUUCUCCCAUUUUCCCAAGGAUUCCUCACUAAUUUCAUCCAAUUCAAUGAGUUAAUGUUAGUCAUUAGUUGGUUGUAUUUCUUAAUUUUGGUCAGCUCCUUGAAUAUCAAUUCGUUUAAUACAUUUGACUAUGAGAGGCUCUUAUGUUUACGUAAUAGCCACCAUGGUUUCAAAUAAUGGCCGUUAUUUACAGGUUUUGAGGGAUGCCGUUACCCAUGAGGCCGUUAUGUAUAGGCAAAUAGGAAGUUGCAAUUGUAACGAGCGUUACGCCGUUGCGUAACAGUAACGACCGUUACUUGGAAUAUUCUUCUGCCACUCUUUCACAUGUGCAUAGUGUUUUGAUACCCAUUUUCUUGUCUCUACAUGCAACACUUCAGUAGCUGUUGUUUGACUUCAAUUUCUCUCAAAUUUUCACUCAAAAUUUUCUUAUUUUUUCAUACAUCUUUUUUUUCAUUGUUUUCUAAUAAUCUUGGCAAAGAUUAGUGUGAGUUAUUUAUGGUUUUAUACAAUUUAUUUUAAUUAUGUGCUGUUUUUUUUGUUUUCUUCGUUGUUUUGCAUAUUUUUUUAAAGAAAAUUAAUGUUGAUGUUAGAUUUGUUUUUAAGUUAGUAGCUUGAAGGGUUAGUUUACCCGAUCUAUAGGUUUAUAUGUUUUUUUUAGUAUUAUUUUGAACUAUUUUUAGGAUUUACAUUAUUAAUUACAAAAUAA
rnacentral:misc_RNA from 1 species